UACGGAGGAUCCAAGCGUUAUCCGGAAUUACUGGGCGUAAAGAGUUGCGUAGGCGGCAUUGUAAGCAGGUAGUGAAAGCGUGUGGCUCAACCAUACUCACAUUAUCUGAACUGCAAAGCUAGAGGACAAGAGAGGUCACUGGAAUUCCUUGUGUAGGAGUGAAAUCCGUAGAUAUAAGGAGGAACACCGAUGGCGUAGGCAGGUGACUGGCUUGUUCCUGACGCUCAGGCACGAAAGCGUGGGUAGCAAA
rnacentral:rRNA from 1 species